rnacentral:rRNA from 1 species
CCUACGGGAUGCAGCAGUGGGGAAUAUUGCACAAUGGGGGCAACCCUGAUGCAGCGACGCCGCGUGCGUGAAGAAGUAUUUCGGUGUGUAAAGCUCUAUCAGCAGGGAAGAAAAUGACGGUACCUGAUUCUGAAGCCCCGUCUAAAUACGUGCCAGCAGCCGCGGCAAUACGGAGGGGGCAAGCGUUAUCCGGAUUUACUGGGUGUAAAGGGAGCGUAGACGGUAGCACAAGUCAGGAGUGAAAUGCCGGGGCUAAACGCCGGAACUGCUUUUGAAACUGUGCAGCUAGAGUGCAGGAGAGGUAGGUGGAAUGCCUAGUGUAGCGGUGAAAUGCGUAGAGAUUAGGCAGAACACCAGUUGCGAAGGCAGCUUACCGGACUGUAUCUGACGUUGAGGCUCGAAAGCGUGGGGAGCAAACAGGAUUAGAUACCCGAGUAGUC